rnacentral:tRNA from 1 species
UUAGCUCAGUUGGCUAGAGCGCGUGACUGGCAGUCACGAGGUCAGGGGUUCGACUCCCCUA